UGGGGAAUAUUGGACAAUGGGCGAAAGCCUGAUCCAGCCAUGCCGCGUGUGUGAAGAAGGUCUUCGGAUUGUAAAGCUCUUUAAGUUGGGAGGAAGGGCAGUAAGCGAAUACCUUGCUGUUUUGACGUUACCGACAGAAUAAGCACCGGCUAACUCUGUGCCAGCAGCCGCGGUAAUACAGAGGGUGCAAGCGUUAAUCGGAAUUACUGGGCGUAAAGCGCGCGUAGGUGGUUCGUUAAGUUGAAUGUGAAAGCCCCGGGCUCAACCUGGGAACUGCAUCCAAAACUGGCGGGCUAGAGUAGGGCAGAGGGUGGGGGAAUUUCCUGUGUAGCGGUGGAAUGCGUAGGUAUAGGAAGGAACAACAGUGGCGAAGGCGACCACCUGGGCUCAUACUGACACUGGGGUGCGAAAGCGUGGGGGCAAACAGG
rnacentral:rRNA from 1 species